rnacentral:rRNA from 1 species
UACGUAGGUGGCAAGCGUUGUCCGGAAUUAUUGGGCGUAAAGCGCGCGCAGGCGGUCCUUUAAGUCUGAUGUGAAAGCCCACGGCUCAACCGUGGAGGGUCAUUGGAAACUGGGGGACUUGAGUGCAGGAGAGAAGAGUGGAAUUCCACGUGUAGCGGUGAAAUGCGCAGAUAUCAGGAGGAACACCGGUGGCGAAGGCGGCAUCCUGGACCGGCAUUGACGCUGAAGCGCGAAAGCUAGGGGAGCAAACGGG